ACCCUGGUGGUCCAGAGGUUAGGACUUGGCGCUUUCACUGCCAAGCGCCCGGUUCAAUCCCCAGUCAGGGAA
rnacentral:tRNA from 1 species